rnacentral:lncRNA from 1 species
UAUAUAUAUAUAUAGAGAGAGAGAGAGGCCCUGCUUGGCUAUGUACUUGGGAUAGAAUUUUUGGAAGUCAAAAAACGCAAUGUAUAAUUUGUAAUAGAACUAACAUAGUAUUCAGCAAUUCUGUGAUCAUGGAUUAAAUCAAAUAAUGCAGGUUAUCUCAAGAAUAUGUCGCAAAAAAACUUGAAAUACAGACUUACCGGUAUGAAUGAAUCCUAGUGUUUUAGGCCAACUCCAUCGACAAUUUUGAUCAAAUUGACCACCAAAACCAAAACUCUAUCUCUUUAACUAUUCCAUGAAAUCUUAAUUGGUAUACUACUCUUACUUGCCGGUGUCAGCAAUAAAAACAUGAAAUUCAGACAUAGAACGAACUUUUUUUUUAUUCCCAUCCUUUAUAUAGCAGAAGUUUUCAUUUACAAGGCAUGUGAAGGGAGAAACAAUGUGAGUAACUUGCUUUAUCGGCUUCAAAAAAGAGCUAAAUCCUAACCUCAAUGUACUGGUCACCUGUACUUUUUCCUAGCCAAAAACUUCCCACCAAGGGUACUAAAGAACAGAAACACUCCCGUUUAGCUGUUGCAUGGUUCCCAGGGUAUUUCCUACAAAACAAACACAUUAUCCUUAUGUGCAACAUAUUCUCAUACUCAUAGUAGCCUAAUGCAAAACAUAAAAAAAAGGAAAAUUUGUAACAUUUUUGGUUGCUUCUUGUCAAAGCUUGCACUUAAAAACUAGUUGUAUCAUAUCAGGGAGCAUCAAAACGUUGUGAAAGCCACUAGCAGUCACAUAGUUAGAGAGACAUUCUGAUAGGAUACUGAAUGUUGGGCCUUAGCCUAAUAGAUGGAUUGAAUAAAGAAUAAGAAUUAGGUGGUUAUUCCCUGAUUAAAACAAUUCUGCUAUAAGUAGGAGGGAAGGGGGGUUAUGAAGGCAUUCAGAAAAGUCUAGGAACACUUAGACUUAGGAGGGAUUUCUCUAAGGUUUAGGAGCAGUUAUGCUCUGGUUUAUCUUUCUUUAGUAUUUUCCACCAUUGUAGAGCUUCAAGCUCAACCUUUUACAAUCAAUGAUAUACAUUUCGUUUUCUUGAAUUCACGGGUUCUAUCACAUUCUUUUGAUGAGUUCUGAAGUUUCUUAAUUUAGCAUAUGCUAUCCUUGAUGUGGUUUAGUAUAAUAAUGAAACCAAAAAGACAACAUAAAUAACAGAUUACCUGGGUUGCUUGCAAAAGAAUAAGCCUUUGGAGGAAAAUUGCCAUUAGUUAAACCAGCAUGAGUAGCUGCAUUGUCAUGAAUAAACUGAUUUGACAAGCCACGACUAGGCAUGCCUCCUGCUUUAGUCAAGCAAACUUCAGAGCUUUUUGCAAGAAUAUGAUCAGAUUUUUGGGCGGAGUACAUCAUUGUCAAGUGGCUCUGUUUUCAAAUAAAUAAUGAGUCAGUUUUUUGUCAUUUGCAUGGAACUGAACUUUUCUGGGCGGGAAGAAAGGAAGGGAUGACACGCAAUUCAGUCUUUUAGCAAUCAGACAGAAAGCUGUAGCCUGCCAGUAGAUUGUAGGUCUUAAUUUCUCAUCACUUUCUUCCUUUUCUGUUUAAUAAGAACAAAUGAUUAAAACAUACAUCGGAAGCCAACAACAUACAACACGUUAAAUCAUGUUUGUAUGAUUUAUACAUCUAACACUAAACUACAUAAAAGCUACAUAAGAUACGUCACAAGACUUAAAUAAAACCUAUAAUACAAAACACCCUUAAAUAAGAAGAUUGAAUAUUAACAUACCUCCUUGUUGAGCACAUUGUCCGUUUGUUCAAAUGAAGGGUCCCCUUGAGACGAAUCUUGCAAUGCAACCAUCUCUCUAUGUGAUGUCUUUGGACACGAGACAUCAGUACAUAAUUCCUCGUCCAAGUUCUCAAAGUACUGAUGACGUAUAGCGGCACGCAGUCGAUUGAUCCUUUGAGAAUAAUAUAUCUUCGUAGCAAGAGGUGCAGGAAAAUCUAAACUAACAAAAAUGUGCAAGUGUUGAACCAACACCAGAGAAAGAGAGAGAAUGCAAAAUCAUAUUAGAACCUACUCAAAACUGAAGAAUUGAAGGAAAUAAGUAUUUGAGGAAUGGGCUUCCAUUCCACAAGAGUUGCAAAAAAGGUUAACGACUUGUUAAACUGAACAAAUAUCUUGAUUUAUAUACCAUUUUUCAUCAAACGUUGUUGCAUAUUGUCUUGCGGAACGCUCUUAUGGAUGCCCUCUCCAUGUUCUGAAACAGUCUUCUCAUUCAAAUCCUUCCCUAAAUGGAACCAGGAAAAAUAAUUAGGUUAUUCUUUCCAUGGCCAGGACUGAAACCCCAAAUACAUAACAAACUCGGUUAAAAAACAAAGUAUGCACUGUGUUUCCACACAUAUAAAGUCAACAAAAACACAAUUGCAAAUAAAAAAUUAAUAGAACAUUACCAAAAACUCUGAAAGACUACAAUUCGUUUACUCAAACAACUAACAAAAGAGGCUUUUGCCCAUACUUGGAAGAAAAUAAACAGUUUCCAAGUAGUUCCUCAUAAAAAUUAGAUAACCUUCAGUGUCCAGAUAAUCAAAAAUUUUAAAAGUAUGAAACUAUUUUUUACAUUUAAACUCAAUUUUCAUAUUUGAUGCCAUGGAUAGAUUUAUUGGAGAUUUGCAACUUUGGGCACAGGUGGAUAGGAACAUGCUUAUUGCGGUAUUGCCAAUCUUAAAUUUAUGAAUGCAGAACAACUUGAUUUGGUAAAAUGAAUAUUCAUAUACAUGUAUUCUUUUGGAAAGUAAAACAUAAUUUUCAUGUUAAUUCAUAACUACUAAUAUCAAGGAAUUUCUGGCAUCUUAUAUAUGAAAAAAGGAAAUUUCAGGAAUCAAAUGUGUCCAAGAUGUCAUGCUAACAUGUUUUCAAAGUAUACAUGCCCAUGUUCUAGCAUAUCCCUAGCUGAGAUAUGAUGGGACAAAGUUAUUAUUUAUUUGUAAAUCAAAUACAGCAUUUUAUUCUUCAAUUGAUAAUUCAUUAGCCAAAAUCUAUUAGCAAAAAGUUCAUCAUGGUGAGUCAAGAACAAAUGACUUAGCACACAAAGUUGGACGAUCAAAAGUAAUUCCAUCUGUUAAACUCAUAGUUUUGGUCACUCAAGACUCUGUUUUAUGGCUAUCUAGUACUGCAAGCUGUGUGCUUACUCAAGUAGUUUCUCAAUAAAAAAUUACAUAUGCUUCGGUGUCGGAAAAAUUACAUAUGAUGAAAAAUAUUUAAUAAUUGUUUGGACAUCAAGUACAGCAAUUAUUUCUUCAAAUGAUAAUUCAUUAUACAAAAUUUAGUAGAAAAAGUUAAUCAUGGUGAGUCCAGCAAGAACAAAUGACUUCAGCACAAACUUGGAUACUUACGAGGAAUUUCAUCUGUUAAACUCACAGUUUUUGUCACUCCAGACUCUGUUCCAUGUCUUUCUAGUAACGCUGGAUGUGUGCUUGCUGUCCUGCAUCAGAAACACAUUCGGAACAAAUUCACUUUACGGCGGAAAGAAGAAAUGGGGAGAAACAUUGAAUGCCAAACAUUAAUUUCAUAGUAAUCAAGAUUAAUAUAUAGCAAGCAGGGCAAGUCAUAUUAGUUAUAGUUUAUGCUGGGAAUGGGAUCAAAUGACUAACAAUAAGUUUGAGCCCAAGCCCAAUUACUUGAUUAUUGAUAAACUUUGCCAUUAGUUUUCUAUAUAAUAAGUAGUAAAUUACUUUUAAGGGGGAGGGAAAGUGAAGGUAUAUAACAACAAAAGAAUUCAAUUUAAUUUUCUACUAAAGUUAUUCCAACUUCAAGAUAUAUGUGAUGACUGAUGGACUAAGAAAGCAUACAAUUUAUGUCGUUUUGUUGGAGGAUGCAUUACUGAAGCCUGGAGAACUCUAUUUCCAUGAUUAACCCCCUUAUCCUCCAACAAAGAUGCCAUAUCUACAAAAUUGAGGAUUCAAAUUGAUUAGAACAGCAAUAUUAUCCAUAACCCAGCCAUAUUACAGAGAAAAUAGAUUAAAAAAUGUAUAACAUGCACCAAAUAAACAUAAGAAUUUAAUUGUCUAAACUAUCAAAAUCACAUUAAACAUUUCUGGAAGUAAAUUAACUAGUCGACAUUAACUGAUAUUUCAAAAGGUUUAAUAAAAUCAGAUCAAAAUAUUGACUAUGCAGCAAAGUUCUCUCCUCAAACUCUAGAGUCUAUGCAAUCUACUUAAUACAAAUUUUAUGUUGACCGCAUAAGGGCAUUAAUUUUAGAAGGCACACUUGCAGUUACAGAGGAGCCAACACUAUGGCAUGGGCAUGAGCAGGAACCAGCAGCAAGUCUCUUCACGUAGAGGUUUGAAGACUCGUAGUUUUGGAAGAAAUCGGGUUAGCACUCAUCUGUUUUAAGUUUUAACCCAGAAAACAGGUGUUUAAAAACCAGAAUUUAGGCAUUCGCACAAUCCCACCAGUUUACAUGAUCUCAGGUGAUCUUAGAAGUUCGCAAUUUCAUUCAGAAUUGGGAUCAGAGAACUGAAAAAAAUAGUAAGAUUGUGCAAUCUUGUGAGCUGAAUGGCAAUUUAACUACACUGGUCAGACCAGACUGGAAUACCACAAAACAGAGGUUCACAACUCAACACGCAAAAAGAGCAUAACAAGUUCAAAACCAAUGGACAGAUCACAAGGUUCAAAAUUACUAAAUAGUGAAGUAUUGUGGGACUGGAUUCCCUUCAUUGGAGCUGGAUUUUGUUUGGUAGGUUUCAGCUCAUCGGAGUUGAGUUCAUUCACCUUGUUAGCCUUUUGUGUUCAAUGCAAACUAGCAAUAUUAGGUAUGUUCAUUUUCUCGGAUUUAUAACUUUGUCUUGAAGGUAGCAAUGGAUUGAGACUCAAAACAGCGUCAUUCACCUCCACUGCAGAUGGAUUCAAGUUGGAAUCUUAAUCUAUAGAAUCGAGUGCUGCAACUACGGUUAAUGUUUUGUGCACUACAAAGCCAUAUCAUUCGAACGUUGAAUUUUAGUUAGUUUUUAAAAAAACACUGCCCACUGUCAUUUUACUUUUAGGCAUGUCAUGAAGAAAAUAACAAUUAUGUCGCAGACCCGUUCUAUCAUCCCCAAACUUGCGAUUCCUUGCGAGUCUAUACGAAUCUAUGUGAGUUGGAGUUUACAUAGAAAUAAUUUUGUGAGCAAGUUAACUCAAUUUAUAGGAGCACACAGAUAUAAUAAUUGGGGAGAGGCUGAGUUUUCUAUAAGCUGGGAGAGGCUAUUUUUGUUCAAUAAAAAUCAUCAUUAGGGCAACGCUAAUAUUAUUUGGUUGUUGAGGAGGCGGUCAGUGUGAAAGCCAACAUAACAAGUUAAAGAAUUGGCAUCAAUUGACUAGGAAAUCUUAUCAACACCAAGAAGCCAUUAUUUAUCUAAAAAUAUAUUGACAAAUUGUUUUAACCUUAUCUUAAUACAAAAAAAAAAUUGGUUAAAAAAGUGAGAGCCAAAGAUAUACAUUGACUUAUUGCACAAAAUUACAAAAGCGGACGGAACUUAAAAGAAAGAGCUUUUACCUUUAACCUCAGUGGAAUUUGGAGUCACUCUGAUUUGACUGUUCAAGUGGGACUGUGACACAGAAGUGUCAAUAUUAUUCACCGACUCAGACCUUCUCCGCUUCCCAGCUGCAUUAGCUAGGUUAUGAGGGGAUACGAAGCACAAAAAUUUAUUUUACUAUAACCUACCAUUAAAAUAUAUUCAGAAAAACUUAAGAACUUCCAUCGAAAGUAAUAGUAUCUUCAAAAGUUUGCAACUGCCUAAUCUCUCCUUUUAAGGUUACCUGCAGCAGAAGUUGAUAACUUUUUCCUUUCUUUCUUUGGAGGUUUUCGAUUCCCUGUGCUGCCAUUAAGCUCCAGCCCAGUUUGUUCUGUGAGUUUUAACGAUCUACAAAGUUCUGAAAAAAUAGAGAAAAAUAAGGAGGUAAAAUGAGGAAGAUUCAAUAUUUAGUACCUUCCAGAGCAAAAGGAAACUGAAAGAAUAAUAUUAUGAGACAAAACCAUGCAGUAACUGGUUGUAAACCUCAGAUAUCCCAUAAAUAAGAACCAAAAAGUUAUAAAAUAAAUGGAAAAUAGUCCACCAGACCUGCAUGAGCAGCAAAUUGGCUGUCCUUGAUUGGUUUCUUGCAAGUGUUGCAGCAUACCUGAAAAAGGAUACAGACAACCAGUUAAAUGAAUUGAUUCCAGAUUAUAUUUCAAGCUGAUAAUCUCUCCAGGUAAAGAAAUUUGUAAUAUGUAAAUCAACUUCACAAUUUAGAAAGUAAUUAUAAAAGAAAAGCUGCAUCCAACAAACUAUUGGAUGAUUCACUGUUCACUUGUGAUGAAUACGCCAUCCUUUAAUAUUUAAGAAGGUUAAAUUCACUGAUCAUUUGGAGUAGACAGAAAAUAAAAAUACAUCCACACAAAAUGACACUGAAUUCUACAGGUAGCAGUUGCAUAUUAGAGAAACUUUCAAAAAUAAAAAUCAAGAAAAAUGUUGAAAAGGCUACAGCCCAUAAUGCCACUGGACAUCUUAAACGAGAUAAAUCAAUUAAAGACGUAAAUUAAAGAUUACAAAUAAAAAUUAUAAAAUAACGUUAUAAGCUCACAAAAGACUUGAAAGAGUUCACUUAUACAAUAUGCAAAGCCAGGCUAAUGUAUCAAAGUCAAACUGUAUCUAAAAUUCUUAGAGGAUAAGGUAUGUACUCUGCUAAAAGUUACACAUUGCAUAAGCACACAACAUCAGUUAUAUAAUCAUAUUAUUCGCGGCAAAUAUCAUAGAAAUUGCAGAGGGUCAUAAUCAUAUAGUGAUCAAUAGAAUUUAGAACAAAGCCUAAUGACGGAAAUUGUGCUAGAUUAAAGACUAAACUGAAAUGUGCAAAUUAAGGUAUCCUAAUUCCUAAACAUAAGGAAACAAUUAUCGGCCAUAUAUAUAUCUGCCAUACCCAGUAACACAGGGAUGGAUCCGUUGAAUUUCAGUAAAUCCUCAACACCAAUAAAAAAAAUAUAUAUGAAAGGUUCAAAAAAAGGCCCUUGGGAAGAAGUACAUUAAUACUAGUUCACUAGCACACAAAAAAAGGGGGGAUAAAAAAAAAGGCAAACCUUACCAGCUGCAAGGGAUCAGUCAUGGGCCUCUCACCAUAAACAUGCAUAUCUGUAAUAUAUAAAAUGUUAAGCAAUAGUUUAAAUAUCCCAGACUAUAGUGAAGACUGUACCUGUAAAAAUUGAAGCCUGGAAAAGGAAAGCAAAUCAACUAUUGUACACAUGAAGAAGAAGUAAAGGAAAUGAUAGAAGGCUAAAGCAGAAUAGCAGAAUAGCAAAAUUGUGAAAACUACACAGGCUAGUACAACCAUAAGUCCUUUUCACACCGGUGAAGCACUUGUUCUCCCCCUCUGAGGUAGAUUGGACUAUUUUGGGUCCUUUUGUAAUUGAGGUUUUUUUAUUAGAGAUUAUUUAUUAUUAUUUGGUACUUGAAGAGUUUAUUUUGGUUUGGAUUAUAUUAUUCCAGCUUGAGUAGGAGUAUUUCAUUCAUUAGGACAUUUCACUUUCUUGGGUAUAUAAAAAGUCUUUGAAUGUGAACAUGGCACUCCACACAGAAGGAGUACUCUACCUUAAAUAUAGGAUCACUAUUGGUAGUACUAAACCACCUCCAUAACAAAACAAAACAAAAAAGGAAAUUUAUUAAUUUUCAAUAUUUGACACUCAUCACAUUCAUUCUGCUGCCAACUCAAGUAAAAACUAAAUCCCUGAAUUAAAUAAAAUAGAGCAAUCAAUUAAUAUCCAAUGGAGACUAUCCACACUAGAGAAAAAGAGAUCAAGGCAACCUUCUUCAUUAAGCAAAUUUGCUUCAUCUGCCUCACAAAGUUGUCUAUAAAUAUACUCAGCAGCUGACUUCUGUCGAGCAAAGUCAUCUUCCAAGGCCAUGCAAAAACAAAUUAUGAGAAUAAAAAAUUGGAAAAUAACUUCCAUGAAUUAAAUAUAGGAACAGUAUUACAUUUCAGUAAAAGCAUAUGUUAACAAUAAAUAAUAGGCUUAAAUAUGUUUUUGGUCCCUACAAAUAUAAUUUUUUUGUCUUUAAUCCACAUAAAAAAGAAUUGUUUUUAGUCCAUGCAAAGGAGUGUAUGAUUUUUCGCUUUUGGUGCUUAUUAGUUUAUUUUAGUGCUUUAAAUGUUUGUUUAUGUUGGAAUUGAUCAUGUAAUAUCUUCAAUAUGAGCUACAUAAGGACUAAAUGAAUAUCACACAAACUACAAGACCAACUCUAAUAAAAACAAACCUUGUAAGAACUAAAACAAAAUAAUAAACAGCAAAAGCCAAAAAUUGUAUAUUUCCAAUGACUGAAAACAAAAAAUAUUUUGCAGGGAACUCAAAAUAAAGUACAAGAUAUUUUUGGUACUAAAAACAUAUUUGAACCUAAAUAAUAUAAUAUGAUUUCACAAAACAAUGUCAGCAUAAGAAAAACUAAGAGGCAGAGUCUGGUUCUAUUACCUCCUACAGUUUGAGAGAAACAUCCAGCAGCAAGAAGCCUUGCCAUAACCUCCAUUCUCCCACUUCCAGGAGAACAUACCAUUGCAAGGGAAAAAACAGUAUACCUACAACAACGAUGAUGAUCAUAGCAUUACACAAAAUUGAUACAAUGAAAUAUAACGAUCGAGAUGAAUACGAAACACGAAAUGUAGAAAACAAUGAAGAAUGUGGUCACGGCAAACAAUCAUUCGCGAAAUAAAUAAUUCAAAAUAUAAAUAAAUAAAGAAAUAAAAGGAACGUAGAAAACGGAAGAACGUUACCUCGACGAGAACCCUAAAAAGUGAGGAAGGUGCAAUGAAUUGGAUUCGAAUUGGGGAAAGGAGAUGAUCUGAGAGGAAUGGAUGUAGAGAAAAUGCAGAGGAGGCUCGGAUGAGGAAAGCAAUGGCGGAAGAGAAAAUGCGUAGAAGAAGAAGGUGAAGAGGAUGAGGAUUUACCGUUGGGUUUGUUUGGGGUAAAUAUUGGUAGAAUGAAAGAAUGUGACAAGGCGUUGGAGAAGAUGGAGGAGUGGAAGAAGGGAAAAAUAAGAAUAGCUUUUGGAGAAGCGAGUUCCUCCGUUUAAGCGUUUAAGCGUUUUGCUUUGCUUAUUGCUUAUUCAAUGCACUCUAAUGCACCAUACCACUCUACUACUACCAUCGCCUCUAUAUCUUUUAUAUUUUAUAAUUACAAAGUGAAUUAUAACCGUUUGAUCAUUUAAUCUAUUGAAUAUUAUUUUUUAAAGUUAUAUUUUUUUUCAUUGUUCGUAAAUGAUUAUGAUGGAUUGAUCAUAUGAUAUAACAAUUAAACUCUUAUAGUUAUUCACUUAAAUUUAUCAAAAAAAAAAUAAAUUUCAUAAAAUAUAUUUAGAUUGAUUCACGUAGAAUUAUUUAUAUUUAAUGUUUAAAGGGAAUUUAUGAAAACUAAAAAACAGAAUCAGUCCGUAGGUAGUGUGUAUUUACAUUCUUGUGACUAUGAUUUAAAUUUAAACAGAACAAUUUUGUUUAAAAUUAUUAUAAUCUACCAUAAAAUUUAAACAGAACAAUUUUGAUUGAAGAGUCAAAAUGCAUGGCAGUGCAUAUAUAAUCCUAAAUUCGUUUAGCAAGUGUGUUUGGCACAUCCCGUAAAAACAUUGUUUUGGCCCACAAACCAUCUCGGGUCAAAGCAACAUCUUGGUAAGUACUUUUUACACCGCUCAUUCGAUGUGUUUAUUUAUAAGUCAAAUUCAACAAAUUAAUAGUCUAAUUUUGACUUAUUUUUAUUACUUUCUAGCAGUGUAUAGGAAAUGUGGAAAGAAAUAAUAAUUUUUUUCUAAAGUUAAAUAGUGUUUUAAAUUCAUUUAUCAUUUUUAAUUAGUCAAUGAACUUUAAAGCGUGUUAAAUUCAACACAGAAAAAGUAGAAGAUUUUAAUAGAAAGUAGGAGAGAGAAUAAAAAAACUAGAAAUAUGUUACAUUCAAGAGAGAAGAGAAAAAAAAUUGUAUUUGGUUCGACAUAAUGAGAAAGAUUUUAAAUGGACUAUAACCAUGGACAUAGCUAAAAUCUUAAUUCAGUAAGGGUCAAAAUCAAUUUAUAUACCAUUACAAAAAUAAAUAAUAGGUUUGUCUUUUAUAUUGUCAUUAUUAGCAAUAUUCAUUAUUUAUUGCUUGUGGUGUAUAAAAUUAUAUGUAAUUAAGCAUCGCUCCAAAAACACAAUUCUGGAAGAGAUAAUUGAUAUUUUGGUAUAUAAAUUUGGCUAUACAUGAUUGAGAAAGCACGUACCAGUAAACAAAUUGUUUUUCUUAGUCUGCUUACCAUUCAGAGUGUAUGCUCUCCCUGAGUUUGGGUUAAUCGGGUUAGCAUCUCCCCACCUUUUGCUCAUAGGAGAAUUAUGAAUUGUGUGGUCAGACUACUUAACCAAUAGCAUAUGCUUCUUCCUGUCAGACACUCUUUGAUAUGGUUUUUACCACACCUUGAAGACUUCCCCGCUCUUGUGACUUAAAGUUGUGCCAAGUGACUCCUAAUGUAUGGCCCUAUUCAAAUUAAUUAAUCUUUCACUUUUCAUUUGGAUCAUAGCGAGCAUGAGAUAAUGUUGAGACAAAAUCUCUCAAAUGAUUUUAAUGAUAACAAAAUUACUUAAGAGAUUAUGAUUGUGGUUAAUGACUAACAUGUGCUCUUGAUUGUAUUCAUAUAAGAUAAUAGGUUAUUAAUCAUUAAGGCAAAAAGAAGGAAAAUAUGAUUUUGGCCUGAGGAUGGAAAACCACGUGAGGAUGGCAUAUGAUCAAGAUGAACCACGUGAGGAUGGGCUGCAAAGUGAAAAUCUCCAGAUCUGCCCAAGUUGUGAUCUCACCAGUACAAAUGCUUUUAUUCAUUAAAUAAAUGAACAAUAAAGUCAAAGAAUGAAUAAGUAAAAGUAUUUGAAAUAAAGAAGUUAGAAGGCCAAAAGGAAAAGGACAAGAACAACUAGAUCUAAGUCUAAGAGGAUGAUAGAAUAGGCUGAGGAUGGUCCAUUAAAAUUGAAAGCAACCCAUCAAGCAUGUGCAAAGGCUAAAAUCAGAUCAUUUAUUGGGCUUGCACGUUUUAAUACAUGAAGAAGUCAAGUUAACAAAAGGCAACUUCAAACAAGCCAAAAAUGGAAGAUCACAUGUGAAAGCAUAUCUGAUCCUCGGACUGAGUAUGACAGUCCUAUGUAAUAGGGUGGUUUUUUCUCUCUUGUCAACAUCACCUCAAAAGUUGAAAUUGUAACACCCCGUUUUUCAAAGCGAGGGUAUAUUUUUUUUUUUUCUAAAAGUAAUUAAAAACGAACAAAGAAAUAAAUCAGGAAAUGCUUUUGGAUAAAUAAUUGAGUCAUUAUAAUUUACAGACAGCGGAAAAGUUCCUCCAAUUACAAAUCCAAAACAUUUCUACAUAAACAUCAAAUGGUACAUGGGACCCAUUCAAAGAUGAUAUAAAACUGAUAAUAUUUGUAUAAGUACAGUUUUCCAAAACUAAAAUACUCCAAACCAAAAAGAAGGACCCCUAGUCCCUAUACAUCAUCCUAAUCUGAUCAUCCUACCAAAAACUAUACACCCUGAGUAAUCUCCACGCGCCCCGUGAGAUCCUCCUAACACAACCGCAGUCAAGCAUUCCCAUCUCCAUCCCUGUCCGUAGGGUACGAACCAGUAGGGCCGUCCUGACUCUCAUCUGAGGGCAAAGCCCAGAUUUCCACAAUAGUGUAAAGGGUCACCAACCAGAAAAUAACAGUUAACACAUAGCAAUUAAGUUUUUGAAUGCUCAAAACAACUUUUUAACUAAGCAUGCACCUUAACAGGAUUUUCAAUGUGCGAAAAGUUCAUACAUUACAUUGCCAAUGAAAAUGAAGGUAAAAUGCAGUUCUCGAUCUCCUAAUUAACACAUGAUAAAACAAAACAUGGAUAGAUUCAUGAGCAAUUAAUCAUACAACUAAAAAUGAGGAUUUUCACUGAGCCAAUCGAUUGGGCAAUCGAUUGGGGUGAAGAUUUUUAAUGAAAACAGAAUCCUGGGCUGAAUUCAAUCGAUUGGUAAAUCGAUUGAUUGGUUCCUGAGCCCCUGGUUUCGAGCCAAUCGAUUUCCUAAUCGAUUUGGUGAGGGAUUCUUAAUGAAAACAGAAUCCUGGGCUGAAUUCAAUCGAUUGGUAAAUCGAUUGAUUGGUUCCUGAGCCCCUGACUUAAGGCCUAAUCGAUUGGGCAAUCGAUUUCGAAAGGGAUUUUAAAAAGGCUGAUUUACAAAAUCGAUUGGCUAAUCGAUUUUGUGAAUUGGCCAAGUCCCUGUUUACCCAUCCAAUCGAUUGGGAAAUCGAUUUCCCUGAUCAGUUUUCCAAAAAUUCAUGAAUUAACCUAAGUCAUUCCUAAUCAAGUUCACCACUUAACACUUAGCAAUUUCUACGCGAUUACUACGACACACAAAGGUUCGAUAACCAUCAUACUCACACACAAUACACAACACAUAGCACUUAACACCUUCAUCUCAGUUAUCACGAUAAAUCAAAAUUCGAAUCACUCAAUCAUAAACUCAAAUCAAACAUGACUCGCGUGCCAGGCACCCUAAUGCAAUGCGUAUAUGCCAAAAUGCAUGGACUCGGAAUUCCAAACCAAAACCCUCCUCGAAGGGCCGUAAAUCAUAAUUGUACCGCCUAUCGCAGGCCAAAGUACCAAUUACCGAGGUGCCACCUAUCACGGGUCAGCACGAUUUACUAAAAUGCGUAAAUCAUAAACGUACCACCUAUCACGGGUCAGUACAGUUUACCGAGGUGUCACCUAUCACGGGUCAACACGAUUUACUAAAAGAAAAAGCGGGAAUCGUAAAUGUACCACCUAUCACGGGUCAGUACAGUUACCAUGGUGUCACCUAUCACGGGUCAACACGAUUUACUAAAAUAUAAAUCGCAAACGUACAACCUAUCACGGGUCCGUACAGUUUACCAAGGUGCCACCUAUCACGGGUCAGCACAAUUCACCAAAAAUGUAAAUCGUAAAUGUACCACCUAUCACGGGUCAGUACAGUUACCAUGGUGUCACCUAUCACGGGUCAACACGAUUUACUAAAAUGUAAAUCGCAAACGUACAACCUAUCACGGGUCCGUACAGUUUACCAAGGUGUCACCUAUCACGGGUCGACACAAUUUACCAAAUGAAAUGCAUGAGCAUACACAGACUCCAUUCACAACAAUCGUUAAGCAAAUGCAGAUAUUAAAAGAUUCCCCAUUUUUAAUACCCAUUUAACUUAAACGACUUUCAAACAACAUUAAUUAAAUAAGUCAUUAAGAGAUUCCCCGUUCUUAAUACCGAUUUAACUUAAUGAUUUUCAAAACAAAACGUUAAGCAAACAGUCAUAUUAAGAGAUUCCCCAUUCUUAAUAUACUUUUGACUUAAACGGUUUUCUCGCAAAACAUUCAGUAAACGAGUCAUUGAGAGAUUCCCCAUUCUUAAUACUCAUUUACCGAAACGAUUUUCAAAAACGAUAGUUAAGUAACCGAGACAUUAAGAGAUUCCCCAUUCUCAACGCCCAGUUAACUUAAACAUUUUCCUCAAAUACACAUUAAGUAAACCGAGGUAUUAAAAGAUUCCCCAUUUUUAAUACUCGUUUAACUCUAAUGGUUUUCAAAUUCCACAGAAACAAAUUCAAACAUACUUUCACAUUCAAACCAUAAUUCACAACAACCACACCAAUUAACAAACAUCAAGUUUCAUUUACCCAUAAUCAUACACAAUGACAUUCAAAUUCAUUUACCACGAAACAUUCAUCACUAUAAACAAAACCUAACUCUUAGGGUUUUACCCGUAACGCACUAGUUUGGUUUUUCCCCAAAUCGACACAUUUAACCCUAACAAUUUCCUUCCCACACAACUACAGAUAAGUCCCUAAUGCAAGCUAGAAGUUUGGAAGGAGCCCUUACCUCAAAGUUAGCUUUAUCGAGAGUUUCCGGUUCCGCGAGAAAUUCCGGUAAAAUCUCCGCUUGCAACGCCGCUUCCAAAGUAGUGCACUAGCACCGUAGCACGGAGGUGAGCAACUUUCCCUUCUAUCUCUUCGAGAAAAGAGGUUUGGAUCUAGGAGAAACGGAGGGGUUUGUGUUUGGAUCUCAAAAACCGUAUUUCUUCGUUUUCGAAUCAAAGAGGAAGAGUGGAGUUACGAAAACCUUGAUCUAACUCACACCCAACCUUGGGUCACUAGCUUUGAAGAAAGGAAGCAACGAAAACGAAGAAUGGAGAAAGGAUGGAUUUUUGGUUAAAGCUCACGUGAGUGCUGAGGAAGAAGAUGGAAAAUUCAAUUUUCCCUCCUUUCUAUUUCUUUCCUUUGCUUUUCCUUUCUUCCUUUUUCCUUCCUUCCUUUAUAUACUAUUUUCUUUUCCUUUUCCUUCCUUCUAGUUUUCCUUUCUUUUUCCCUCCAAGCAAACAUAUGAAUAUAAAAUAAAUAUAACUUAACAAAUAUCUCAAAAUCUAGAUAUUUAUUAAAUUACCGUUUCACCCGAAACGCCUUAAAUUAACCGUAAAGUAUUUUCCGCAGUUAAAUUCAAUUUAUUUAUCGACGAGAAAUUCUAAUUGGCAUCGAAAUAUCUUUUUGAUUAUAAAACUCCAAAAUAUUAUUAACUUUGGCUUAAAAGCCUCCGAGCCAAAAUCCAAAAUAUACCAAAAAUACAUAAAAGGUACUUUAAAAUUAUGGGUCUUACAGAAAUCAACCUAGUCCUUAAAGCUUUUUGAAAAGGUUGCAGCUCACAUGGUCAAAGAAACAGUUUUGCACUCUUGAUAAAAGAGAAUAGACAAAGACAUCUCAAGAUCAAGUUUCAAGGAAGCUGGCCUGCAUACGUGAGGAUGGGUUCUGCCUGGCCUAACAAGCUGAAUGGCAAUUAUGUAAUUAUGAUGAAAAACCUCGAAUCCUUUGAAAAUGAGUUCCAACGGUCAUCAAACAGUUUGGACCUCUAUAAAAUGCAGCAAGCUCUUCAUCAUAAAAUACGCAACACAAUUGCACAAAAAAAUCAAGCAUCUUAAAGCUAUCAAGAGCAAUUCACAUCCUCACUUCAUACUUUCUUUGAUCUUACAUUAUAUCUUUGUAUAUCCUUUGAGAAAGUAUUAAGUAUCAAUCACUCUCGUACUACUUUGUAAUUUCCUUGUGAGUGACACUUAAAAUAUUUGAAAAUUGAUUGUAAGCUUGGUGAAGCUAAAGAAUACACAGUUUGUAAUCAUCCUCAGCGUGAGGUUGGUCAGUUUGAAAGUUAGUGAAAUCUCACAAGGGUGUGAGGACUGGACGUAGCCAUCUUUGGGUGAACCAGUAUAAAAUUGUGUGUCUCUCUCUCGUAUUCUUCUCUUACUCUUUUGCUCAAGUUAAAACUAAAGGAUUAAAAAAUUCGUCCUCAGUGAGAUGACAGUUUUAAAAUCUCUUGAAAACUAUUUUUAAACAGCAAAAUCCCUAUUCAACUCCCCCUUCUAGUGAUAUUUAGCUACAUCAAUUGGCAUCAGAGCAAGGUUCUCUAAAAAAUACACCUAACAGUGUAAGAGAAAAAGAUCCAAAAAGAAAAAUGUCAAAAGCUAAGUACAUUCCUGAAGGAGGAUCAUACAGCCGACCUCCCUACUUUGAUGGUACAGAUUACUACCACUGGAAAGGUAAGAUGAGGCUAUUUCUCAUAUCACAAGACAACAUGUGGUCUGUGGUGGAAAAUGGAGAUCAUGUCAUUAGAACCAACAACGCAGACGCAACCUCCGAUGAGAAACCUCAAGCACAAUGGACGGCUGAUGAAAAUGCAAAGGUACUCCUAAACUCUAAAGCUCAUUUAUUUCUAACGUGUGCUUUGAGCAGGGAAGAGUAUGACAGAGUUGAAGAAUGCAAAAACGCUAANNNNNNNNNNNNNNNNNNNNNNNNNNNNNNNNNNNNNNNNNNNNNNNNNNNNNNNNNNNNNNNNNNNNNNNNNNNNNNNNNNNNNNNNNNNNNNNNNNNNNNNNNNNNNNNNNNNNNNNNNNNNNNNNNNNNNNNNNNNNNNNNNNNNNNNNNNNNNNNNNNNNNNNNNNNNNNNNNNNNNNNNNNNNNNNNNNNNNNNNNNNNNNNNNNNNNNNNNNNNNNNNNNNNNNNNNNNNNNNNNNNNNNNNNNNNNNNNNNNNNNNNNNNNNNNNNGAAAUGUUCUCAAGGUUAACAAUCAUAUUAAAUAACUUGAGAUCUCUUGGAAUGGUAUACUCCGUUCAAGAAAGGAUAAGAAAAAUCCUAAGAAGUUUACCAAAAGAAUGGAGGCCAAUGGUAACUGCCAUUACAGAAACAAGAGAUUUGACCAACAUGAAAUUAGAAGAUUUUGUUGGAACUCUAAGAGCUCAUGAACCAUUGUUGUUGGCUGAUAAACCAAACAAAAAGGGAAGAAUGAUUGCUCUAAAAACCAGCCAAACAGAAAGCUCAUCCUCCAAGAAGAAUGAAGAUGUCAUAACAAAGAAAAACGCAUAGUAUCCUCUGUUUGAGGAUGAGGAUGAACUCGUUCUGAUUUCCAAAAAAAAUCAGAGGAUGUUAAACAGAAGAGGACAGAAUAGAGGACCUCCUCAAAAAUAUAAAAUUGACAAAAGUCAAAUAACUUGUUAUGGAUGCAACAAGAUGGGACACUAUAAAACUGAGUGUCCUCUCAACAAAAGGAACUCUAGAAAAUUUCCAUACAAAAACAAAUCCAUGAUGAUUACUUGGGAUGAUAGUGACGAGUCAUCCUCGGAGCAAGAAAAGGAAGAAGAGGCCAACCUAUGUAUCAUGGCAAAAUCAUAAAUUAACAAGGUUCAUCCUCUAAUCAACAAAAGAAAGCCUUGGUACAUGGAAAAUGGUUGCUCAAGGCAUAUGACAGGGGAUAAGCAAUGCUUCAUGUCAUUGGAGAUAAAGGAUGGAGGAUCAGUCACAUUUGGUAAUAAUGAUAAAGCUCAAAUAAAAGGAACAUGUAUUAUUGGUAAGAAUAAUUCUGCAAAAAUUGAAAAUGUUCAGUAUGUGGAUGGCUUAAAACAUAACUUGCUAAGCAUUAGUCAAUUAUGCGAUAGUGGUUUUGAAGUUAUUUUCAAGCCUACUCUAUGUGAGGUUAAGCACUCAUCCUCGGGUAGAGUUUUCUAUUUCGGGUGUAGAAAAACGAAUUUAUAUGAACUUUAUCUUGAUGAUUUACCUACUGAAUCUUGUUUUGUUUCCAUUGAAAAAGAUAAAUGGAUUUGGCACAAACGAGCCGGUCACACAAGCUUAAACACUAUUUCUAAAUUAGCAAAUUUAGAAUUAGUAAAAGGACUUUCAAAAAUUAAUUUUGAAAAAGACAAAGUUUGCGAAGCUUGUGAGAAAGGAAAACAAGUUAAAAGUAGUUUUCACUCUAAAAACUUUGUUUCAACAAAUCAUCCUCUUGAACUCAUUCACAUUGAUCUUUUUGGUCCUAUCAAAACUCCAAGUCUUAGUGGAAAAAGAUAUGGCUUUGUAAUUGUUGAUGAUUUUUCUCGUUUUACGUGGGUUCUAUUUUUAAAACACAAAGAUGAAGCCUUUAAGGCAUUCCACCAUUUUUGCAAAAAGAUUCAAAAUGAAAAAGGAUCAAAAAUUGACUCGGUGAGAAGUGACCAUAGAGGUGAAUUUGAAAAUGAUUCUUUUAAAAAAAUUUGUGAAGAAAAUGGUAUUUCUCACAACUUUUCUUGUCCAAGAACUCUCCAACAAAAUGGGGUUGUUGAAAGGAAAAAUAGAACUUUACAAGAAAUGGCUAGAACUAUUUUAAAUGAAGCCAACAUUGAAAAAUAUUUUUGGACCAAAGCCAUCAACCCUGCUUGUUAUGUUUCAAAUCGUGCAUCCAUUAGAAAAAAUUUAAAUAAAACUCCAUAUGAAUUAUGGAAAGGGAGAAAACCAAAUAUUUCCUAUUUUCACAUAUUUGGGUGUUAUUGCUACAUUCUAAAUAAUAAAGAAAAUUUGGGAAAGUUUGAUCCAAAAUCUGAUAAAGGAAUUUUUCUAGGAUACUCCACAACGACAAAAGGUUAUAGAAUAUAUAAUCUUAGGACUCAAACUGUGGAGGAAUCCAUGCAUGUUAUUUUUGAUGAGUUUGAUGACUUGUGUUUAGAGAAAAUGGAUAAGGAUGAAGAAGAUGAAAAAUCAUCCUCUCAAGUACCCGGUCCUCACGCAGAGGAUGAGUCUGACCCAACCUCUCAGCAACUUCCAAGAGGAUGGAAAACAGUCACGCAUCAUCUCUAGAUCUAGUCAUUGGAAAUACUGCAGAUGGUGUGAGAACCAGAAACUCUCUAAGGGAAAAUACUACCAACAGGGUCAUGAUAUCACAAGUUGAACCCAAGACGAUUGAUCAAGCUAUUGGUGACAAAUCAUGAGUUGAAGCUAUGAUGGAAGAACUCUCACAAUUUGAAAGAAACAAGGUAUGGAAUUUUGUACCCCGUCCUAUGGACAAAUCUAUUAUUGGAACUAAAUGGAUAUUUAGAAACAAACUAAAUGAGGAUGGAGAAGUCAUUAGAAAUAAAGCAAGACUAGUGGCACAAGGGUACAAUCAACAAGAAGGAAUAUAUUAUGAUGAAACGUUUGCACCCGUAGCAAGACUUUAAGCAAUAAUAAUCCUCUUAGCUUAUGCUACUCAUAAAGGUAUAAAACUAUUUCAAAUGGAUGUAAAAAGUGUCUUUUUGAAUGGGUUUUUAAAUGAAGAAGUGUAUGUUCGUCAACCUCCUAGAUUUGAGGAUGAAAAACUACCAAACCAUGUGUUCAAACUCUCAAAAGCUCUUUAUGGUUUAAAGCAAGCUCCUAGAGCUUGGUAUGAGAGGUUAAGCUCUUUUCUAAAAGAAAAUGGAUUUAUUAGAGGACAGAUUGAUACUACUCUUUUCAAGACACAUGAGAAGGAUUUAUUAAUUGUUCAAAUUUAUGUAGAUGACAUAAUCUUUGGAUCCACAAAUGAAAAGACCUGUAAAGAUUUCUCAAAUCUCAUGCAAAGUGAGUUUGAGAUGAGUAUGAUGGGGGAAUUAAAAUUCUUUCUUGGUUUACAAAUCAAACAACGAGAGGAUGGUCUUUUUAUAUCAGAAGAAAAAUACACAAAUGAUUUGCUCAAAAAAUAUAACAUGAGUUCAGCCAAGAGUAUGGGAAUUCCUAUGCACCCAUCCUCCAUACUCCACAAAGAUGAUGAAGGAACUCCAAUAUCUGAAAAGGAGUACAGAGGAAUGAUAGGAUCAUUGUUGUAUCUCACAGCCAGCAGACCAGACGUAGUCUUUACAGUCGGUCUUUGUGCAAGAUUUCAAUCCUCUCCUAAAGAAUCUCAUCUCACUGCAGUAAAAAGGAUUUUUAGAUACCUUGUUGGCACUAUAAAUAUGGGAAUUUGGUACAAGAAAUGUUCCAAUCUUGACCUCAUAGCUUAUUGUGAUGCCGACUACGCGGAAGACAAAGUUGAAAGAAAAAGCACAAGUGGUGCUUGCCAAUUUCUGGAUAAAUCCCUAAUAAGUUGGUCAUGCAAAAAACAAAGUACCAUUGCUCUUUCAACUACUGAAGCAGAGUAUGUAUCAGCCGCUAAAUGUUGCUCACAACUAUUUUGGAUAAAAAAUCAGCUUGAGGAUUACUCGCUAAGGUACGCAAAAAUUUCCAUCCUUUGUGAUAAUACAAGUGCAAUAAAUCUUUCUAAAAAUCCCAUUCAACAUUCUAGACCUAAGCACAUUGAAAUUAAACAUCAUUUUAUAAGAGAUCAUGUGCAAAAAGGGGAUUUAGAAUUGAUUUUUAUUGACACUGAAAAUCAAUUAGCAAAUGUUUUUACCAAACCUAUCCAAGAGGAUAGGUUCAAAAAGAUCUUGGAGGAACUUUCAAUUCUUAAUUUGUCUAAAAUUAAUUGAUUUAUCUUAGUUAUAUUCCUUUAUUAUAUUAUUAUAAUUGGUAUUAUUAAUAAUCUAAAAAUAUAUGUUGCUCCUUUAAAUUAGUAUAUACAAUUUUAGUUAAGCCUGUGAGGAUAAGCAAAACCACCAGAGGACGGAAUGUCCUGUGAGUGAAACGUCCCCUGACUUGGCAGCCUAGAGAAAUGUAGUAUGCCUUCUCUCUCAUUGGGUAGCACGCGUGGCGUAUGCCUCCGUGUUUCACGUCGUGCAUUGAAUGCAUUUACGGCCACGUGACUCAGCCUAUCCAAUCCAUCAUCUCACUAGCUUCCUAGGCAAACGACGCAUUAAAUUUUUCUGUCUUCUCACGUUUCCUCACACGUUCUCCCUGUUCAUCUCCCAUCCUCAUCUAUACGUUUCCCAUCCUCUCUCGUUCUCACUCAUCAACCAUUUGUUCAGAAAACCUUUCUUCAUCCAACAUUUACUUCCCACACCAUUUCCUUUCAAUGGCUCGAACUAAAGUUACUGCAAAAUGCAAAAUCUCAUAUCAAGAACCAGAAAAGAACCAAGAUGUCUACUCAAGCACUGAGUCAGAUUAUCAUGAGGAAACUCAAUCUGAAGCAACUUCCAUGAACACCAUAUCUUCAUCUCAACCAUCCAAAAGCUCUUCUCCAAAAAUCUCCAAAAACUCAUCCUCCUCAGUCCCCUCCAGACGCUCCUCCAGAAUCAUGUCUAGAGCUGUUUCAUCCAACAAGGUACCUCCUCAAGACAAUACGAUCCAUGUCAUCAAUUCUGAUGAUUCAGAGACCACUCUCCCUGUUGAACCAGCACAACAACCUCCUCUUGUAAAAUCAAAUUCCAAAACUCCAACUCCAAAAAAGGCCACACCUUCUUCACCAAAACCCCCUUUAUCAUUCCUCCUACAAAAUCAAACUCCAAAACUCCAACUCCUAAAAAGGCCAAACCUUCUUCACCAAAACCCCUAUCAUCAUCCACAAAAAAUUCUGAAAUAACUUCACUGUUUGAUUUGGCCGAAUUAGAAACUGUCUACACCUCAAAAUGGAAAAACAAGUCAGUGGUCAAUGGUAAAAUCAUUGACCUUGCUGAUAUCAAACAAGGAGGGUUCAAUAUGGAAGAAAUGUUUGAACAGCUCGGCUGGACCUCUUUUGUCAAAAUCAAUGAACCACAGUACCCUCGUCUAGUAAGGGCUUUCUACCCUGCUUCAAAAGGAUCAAAAGGCACGACCAAUUUCAGUAUGGUGCUAAAAGGGGUUCAUAUGGAAAUUAAUCCCACCACACUAUGUCAAAUACUUGAUAUAUGUGAUGAAGGAGCUCACUGCUUAUCUGAGACAUGGUAUUCACAAUGUGUCAUCACUAGGACCUCUGUGCUCCAAAGCACACUCAUCAAACCUCCAAAACCGUUGGUAGCCUCCAACCUCGUCCCCUUGUGUCGUAUCCUUCACAAUAUUUGUGUCCACUCCAUCACGCCCCGGGCUAGCAGUUUUGAGAAAGUCACGAAGCUUGACCUCAUGAUUAUUCAUCACGUGAUUACUGGUACUCCUCUUCAUUUGGGUCAUGUUAUUUUCACCUUCAUGCUGAAUGCUGUUGUAAUGGGACGAUCUGCUCCCUAUGGGAUGAUUUUGACAAAAAUCUUCAAAUUUUUCAAAAUCCCACUUGUGGAUUAACAUUUCAUCCACUUCAACAACACUUUUUCUAUGAAGAAAAUUAAACAGAUGAAGAUUCAAACUGAUGACCGCCCUGCCUCCAAGAAACGAAAAACUCGUCCUUCCUCAUCUGUUUCUCAAAAAUCUGAAGCUGAAACCACUCAACCUCCAACUGAGGAUACACCAUCACCACUUAUUAACUCUUCUGAUACUACUCCUUCUCCUGACUCACAUGUCCCCACAACAACUCAGUCUUCACCAAUCCACAAACUGACUCCCCUUCAUGAAGCCGAUUCUAUCCCUGAGGAUACCUUAAAAUCAACUGCUCUUCAAAAUAUGGAAGAUGGUGAGGAGUUAUACUUUGAUCUUAAUUUAUCUUAUCCUCCCUCUCCUACGGAUGUGCCUAUGGCUUCUCCUCCAACUGUUCCAGUGGAUGAAGAUGUGCUCCCAUCACCAGAUUUUUCGCAACAAAUUCCUCCUGCUGCAAACUUUGAAAAACAUGCCCAACCUCUCCCUGAGGUCACAUGUGUGUUCAGUUCCCUUGACUCAUUUUUUACUGCCACGACUCAUAACCAUUCAAAGGACAAGGCUGGGAGCUCUCAGAAUAAGAGUUCCAGUGUAAAUGAUCAGCCUAAGGGCUCGGUUCCAAGCACAAGGAUUAGGGACAACAAGAAUAAGAAACAGAUGAAACUUCUCAAAUUAAUUAGGAAAGACCAGAAGAAAAUCCUUCAGCGCUUCACUCACUUUUAGGACUCUUUGGUUCAAUUUGGUCUUAUCCUUGAAUGGGUUACCAAACACUUGGUACCUAAUAUUGCUCUUAGAGAUCAUCCUCCUGAGCUACCAGCCCAGCCAUUCUCUGAUGUUCCAUCUCCUUCAUCCUCAUCAAAUGAACCAUCCUCAUCAGAAUAAUUCAGUUGAUGUUUCUUUUUGCUUCUGCCAAAUUUAGGGGGAGAAUGAUUAUGUUUUUUUUUUUGUUUAUCCAGUUGAUUAUGUUUUUUUUAUCGAGUUGUUUUGGGUUCAUGUUGUUAAAACUAUUUAAUUAUUGUGUUGCUAAGUUGAAUUGUUGUGUUGCUUAUGAACCCGUGUUUAUGUUGUAUUGAACAAAUCUUUAAAUUAUUAUCUAAUUAUCAUGAUGUUUUAAAAAUUAUUACACAUAUGAUUGAGGGGGAGCACAAACAUUUUAUCUUUGUCUUAUUUAAAAUCAUAAUCUAAAGAAUUUUGUCAUCAUCAAAAAGAGGGAGAUUGUUGAGACAAAAUCUCUCAAAUGUUUUAAUGAUAACAAAAUUACUUAAGAGAUUAUGAUUGUGGUUAAUGACUAACAUGUGCUCUUGAAUGUAUUCAUAUAAGAUAAUAGGUUAUUAAUCAUUAAGGCAAAAAGAAGGAAAAUAUGAUUAUGGCCUGAGGAUGGAAAACCACGUGAGGAUGGGCUGCAAAGUGAAAAUCUCCAGAUCUGCCCAAGUUGUGACCUCACCAGUACAAAUGUUUUUAUUCAUUAAAGAAAUGAACAAUAAAGUCAAAGAAUGAAUAAGUAAAAGUAUUUGAAAUAAAGAAGUUAGAAGGCCAAAAGGACAAGGGCAAGAACAACUAGAUCUAAGUCUAAGAGGAUGAUAAAAUAGGCUGAUGAUGGUCCAUUAAAAUUGAAAGCAACCCAUCAAGCAUGUGCAAAGGCUAAAAUCAGAUCAUUUAUUGGGUUUGCACGUUUUAAUACAUGAAGAAGUCAAGUUAACAAAAGGCAACUUCAAACAAGCCAAAAAUGGAAGAUCACAUGUGAAAGCAUAUCUGAUCCUCGGACUGAGUAUGACAGUCCUAUGUAAUAGGGUGGCUUUUUCUCUCUUGUCAACAUCACCUCAAAAGUUGAAAUCAACCUAGUCCUUAAAGCUUUUUGAAAAGGUUGCAGCUCACAUGGUCAAAGAAACAGCUUUGCACUCUUGAUAAAAGAGAAUAGAUAAAGACAUCUCAAGAUCAAGUUUAAAGGAAGCUGGCCUGCAUACGUGAGGAUGGGUUCUGCCUGGCCUAACAAGCUGAAUAACAGUUCUGUAAUUAUGAUGAAAAACCUUGGAUCCUUUGAAAAUGAGUUCCAACGGUCAUCAAACAGCUUAGACCUCUAUAAAAUGCAGCAAACUCUUCAUCAUAAAAUACACAACACAAUUGCACAAAAACAUCAAGCAUCUUAAAGCUAUCAAGAGCAAUUCACAUCCUCACUUCAUACUUUCUUUGAUCUUACACUAUAUCUUUGUAUAUCACUUUGAGAAAGUACUAAGUAUCAAUCACUCUCGUACUACUUUGUAAUUUCCUUGUGAGUGACACUUGGAAAUAUUUGAAAAUUGAUUGUAAGCUUGGUGAAGCUAAAGAAUACACAGUUUGUAAUCAUCCUCAGCGUGAGGUUGAUCAGUUUGAAAGUUAGUGAAAUCUCGCAAGGGUGUGAGGACUAGGCGUAGCCAUCUUUGGGUGAACCAGUAUAAAAUUGUGUGUGUCUCUCUCAUAUUCUUCUCUUACUCUUUUGCUCAAGUUAAAACUAAAGGAUUAAAAAAUCCAUCCUCAGUGAGAGGACAGUUUUAAAAUCUCUUGAAAAUUAUUUUUAAACAGCAAAAUCCCUAUUCAACCCCCCCUUUUAGUGAUAUUUAGCUACAUCAGAUAAGAAUCUAGUCAACACUUCAAACAUUGCCACAUACUUUACUAUUAGCAUAUCUCCUUACUUCAUAUGCUUGAAUUCUUGUUCCUUUUGCUUUCUAACAAUCUUAGGAUAAUACUUAUCCAGAAACACCAAUUGAAAGGCAUUAAAAGUGAAGAAAUUGAGUUUUUGUUUUACUGGACCAUUCCAAAUCAUAGAAAGAGUGGGGUCUUUGGCUUAUCAUUUGGCCUUGUCGCCUCAUUUAACUGAAUUACACGAUAUUUUUUAGGUAUCUCGACUUAAGAAAUACAUUUUGGAUCCCUGUCAAACUUUAAAUCACGAAUCCAUUCAAGUUAAACCAAACCUCGCUUUCCAACUAAUGUCAAUUCAGAUUGUGGACCGAAACUUGAAAACCUUACGAAAUAAGACUAUUCCCUUGAUACAAGUUGUUUGGGAAGAAGCAUAAUACUCUUAUCUUUUCUCUUAGGGAAAUUUUGAAAUUUUAAUGACAUAAUUUUUUCAAUGGAGGAAGAUUGUAACAACCUCUCCUUGUGUUUUAGAAUUUUGUAAAUUUAUCACUUGUUUGAUAAAUUUUAGGAUUAUUUUUGUGGUAUGAGCAUUAUGAUAACUUUGAAUAAUAAACACAAAUAAAAUAAUAGUUUUACUUUAUGGUUAUUAGGAAAAAUUGAAAUUUAAUAAAAUUUCUACCAAUAAGUAAUUUUUUUAUUAUUAUUAUUAAUUAGAAAAUGAGAACUAGUAGUAGUUGUAAAACACAAAGCCUUGAAAACAAAGCAUUCAUUUUCUCUUAUCCUCCAAACGUUACGAUGUCGAACACACCAACGCUAUCACUUUCUUCUUACAUUACCAACAAAUUCAGCAAAAAUCCAUUCACUUUACUACUCAAACCUUAUCCACUAUCAACCAAUAACACUACGCAAGACAAAAAGGGAUAAUAUAUAUAUAUAUAUAUAUAUAUAUAUAUAUAGAGAGAGAGAGAGAAAGAAAGGGGGUGAUUCAAAAGAAGAAGAGAAAAGAAAAAAAUAUGUCCAAUGCUUUGAUCCGUAACCUAAUGUGAGUUUCUAUUUUCUUUCUUUAAGGAAUUUCUCCAAAGACAUGUGCAUGAAUGUUAGUUUUGAGAAUUUUUACAAGAAAAUUAUGUUUUGGUUGUUUGGUGGGGAAAAUGGAGAGUUUUGAGUUUGAAAUUUCUUUUAUCUAAAUUGAUAAGAAAUGUUUUUCGUGCAUGCAUGUUAAAAAUACGGUUUUAUUUAUUAGUGGAGAGAAAGUUAUGUUUUUAUCCCAAAACGAGGUGUUUGAUGAAAUAAAUAUUGUAUGAGAAUUGUUGUAUUUAAGUUUGGUUUUCUAAAUAAAAACAAAAUUGUGUAAGUAUGAGAUUUUUUCUGAAUUAUUGGUUUUGAAUUUUGAGAUGAAGCUAACUAUAUCGUGUUUAUAGGUGAGUUAUAUACUUUGAGUAUAAGUUUAAAAAAUUUAUAAUGUCAUUUGACCAAUUUUCACUAAUUAUUAUUGACUUUUGUGAUGGAAAAUUUAUGUUGUAUGUGUAAAUCAGUAUAGCGUAAUUUUUCUUGAAUUAUUGGUUUUUAAAUUUGAUAUGAGACCGAUUUCAUUAGGUUGUUAAUUUAGUUAGAUAGUUCCAGUAAAAAUUUUAGAAUUUUAUAAAGUAAUUUGACAUUUCAUUAAUAAUUAUUAGUGACUAUUGUGCUAAAAAUAUUUUGGUGUGUGACUUUCAAGAAUAAAUAAAAUUCUUGAGAAAUUUGAAUGACUUCAUUUUAUAUACAUAUAUAUUAUAACUUAAAUAAUAUUUAACUUGUGAUGAGUUUAGUGAGACAAUUUUCCAAAAUUGA